rnacentral:rRNA from 1 species
UGGGGGAUAUUGCACAAUGGGCGAAAGCCUGAUGCAGCGACGCCGCGUGGGGGAUGAAGGCCUUCGGGUUGUAAACUUCUUUUGCUCUGAACAAGGCGCACCAUGGGGUGUGUUGAGUGUAGGGGUUGAUUAGCGCCGGCUAACUACGUGCCAGCAGCCGCGGUAAUACGUAGGGCGCGAGCGUUGUCCGGAAUUAUUUGGCGUAAAGGGCUUGUAGGUGGCUGGUUGCGUCUGUCGUGAAAGCUCAUGGCUUAACUGUGGGUUUGCGGUGGGGACGGGCUGGCUUGAGUGCAGUAGGGGAGGCUGGAAUUCCUGGUGUAGCGGUGGAAUGCGCAGAUAUCAGGAGGAAUACCGGUGGCGAAGGCGGGUCUCUGGGCUGUUACUGACACUGAGGAGCGAAAGCAUGGGGAGCGAACAGG